UACGUAGGGACCAAGCGUUGUCCGGAAUUAUUGGGCGUAAAGAGCUUGUAGGCGGUUUGUCGCGUCUGCUGUGAAAUUUCGGGGCUCAACCCCGAACUUGCAGUGGGUACGGGCAGACUAGAGUGUGGUAGGGGAGACUGGAAUUCCUGGUGUAGCGGUGAAAUGCGCAGAUAUCAGGAGGAACACCGAUGGCGAAGGCAGGUCUCUGGGCCAUAACUGACGCUGAGAAGCGAAAGCAUGGGGAGCGAACAGG
rnacentral:rRNA from 1 species